rnacentral:lncRNA from 1 species
UCGAAGAACAUAAGAUUUGCCUCGGCACAUAUUAAGUUGAAGAACUGAUCAUCAGUUAGAAGCUGAUACUUGAAAAGAUAAGUUUUUUUAUUGUUGUGCCAAAUAUAACUUAUUUAAUUUUCUUAAUUUGUUCAUUAUCUCAAUUUCUAUUUCUCUGUCAGUACUUCUACCUCAUCUUUACCAAACAGUACUUUUGAAGUAACUCCACCAUGCAACUUAAUAAAAUUAAAGAUUAGCUACUAACCCUAUCAUGAAAUUAUUUAGAGAUGAGGUAAAGGUACGAACCUAGGAAAUAGAAAUUGAGACAGUGAACAAAAUAUAGUGUGAUGAUCGUUAAUUAGAAAUAGAAAAUUUAUAAACUCUAAUUUGUUAAAAUGUUAUAUGCUUGAAGUUUGGAGCUCGAAGAACAUAAGGUUUACGUCGGCACAAGUUAAGUUGAAAACCUUAUGAUCAGUUAGACGCUGAUACUUGAAAGGUUAAGUUCUUUAU